UACAGGGGGGGCAAGCGUUGUUCGGAAUUACUGGGCGUAAAGGGCUUGUAGGUGGCCAAUUAAGUCAGACGUGAAAUCCCUCAGCUUAACCGGGGAACUGCGUCUGAUACUGGAUGGCUUGAGUUUGGGAGAGGGAUGCGGAAUUCCAGGUGUAGCGGUGAAAUGCGUAGAUAUCUGGAGGAACACCGGUGGCGAAGGCGGCAUCCUGGACCAACACUGACGCUGAGUGAGCGAAAGCCAGGGGAGCAAACGGG
rnacentral:rRNA from 1 species